AGUUUGAUCCUGGCUCAGAACGAACGCUGGCGGCAGGCUUAACACAUGCAAGUCGAACGCCCCGCAAGGGGAGUGGCAGACGGGUGAGUAACGCGUGGGAACAUACCCUUUUCUACGGAAUAGCUCUGGGAAACUGGAAUUAAUACCGUAUACGCCCUACGGGGGAAAGAUUUAUCGGGGAAGGAUUGGCCCGCGUUGGAUUAGGUAGUUGGUGGGGUAAUGGCCUACCAAGCCGACGAUCCAUAGCUGGUUUGAGAGGAUGAUCAGCCACACUGGGACUGAGACACGGCCCAGACUCCUACGGGAGGCAGCAGUGGGGAAUAUUGGACAAUGGGCGCAAGCCUGAUCCAGCCAUGCCGCGUGGGUGAAGAAGGCCUUCGGGUUGUAAAGCCCUUUUGUUGGGAAAGAAAAGCAGUCGGUUAAUACCCGAUUGUUCUGACGGUACCCAAAGAAUAAGCACCGGCUAACUUCGUGCCAGCAGCCGCGGUAA
rnacentral:rRNA from 1 species